rnacentral:tRNA from 1 species
GAGGGUGUAGCUCAGUGGUAGAGAGUGUGCUUAGCAUGCAUGUGGUCCUGGGUUCAACCACCAGUACUUCCA